rnacentral:lncRNA from 1 species
GGCAAUGGAGAAGGGGGGGGGUUUAGCACUUCUGCCACUACUAAAAUUUAAACCCCCUACAACAAGCUUAUUAUAUAUAUGAAUGUAUGUAUGCAUAUGUAAAGACUGCAGAGAAAAAAAAACUGUUCUAUCGACAUUUCUUUUCCAUUAAUUGCCUGAGAUAGAAGAAUCUAACCACAGCCAAAAGCAGCCUGUAUUACCUAAAAGUAGCAAUGCUUGUAAGAAGGAAAAAAAAAGAUAAUAGAUGUGCAUAAAGGGAGCAAAAGAUGGGCAAUGUGAGGGCGAAGCAUGGUUUUCUUUCUUUCUUUCUUUCUUUCGNNNNNNNNNNNNNNNNNNNNGGGGAGAGGAUAGCACUUCUGCCACUACUAAAAUUUAACCCCUACAGCAAGCUUAUUUUGGAUAACAUGCAUACACAUACACAUAUAUAUAGAGGGAGGGAGGGAGAUAAGAAUAGAUAGAUGGAUAGAUAGAUAGAGCGGAUCGAUUAGGAGGAUAAAUCGAUUAGAUAGGAUAGACCAAUUAGAAGGAUAGAUCAAUUGGAUCAGUUAGAAAGAUAGAUUGAUUGGACGAUUGAUCGAUUAGAAGGAUACAUCGGUUGGAUAGAUUGGAUCGGAUGGAUAGAUUGGAUACGUCGAUAAGAUAGAUGAGGUUGGAUAGAUUGGAUACAUAGACUAGAUAGAUUGGAUCGGAUGGAUAGAUUAGAUACGUGGAUUAGUCAGAUUAGAUUGGAUACAUUGGAUACAUAGAUUAGAUUGGAUGGAUAGAUCGGAUCGGAUGGAUAGGUUGGACACAGAUUAGAUGGAUUAUAUUAGAAAGAUAUAUUAGAUAGAGUAUGUAUAUCUAUCUAUGUAUGUAUGUAUAUCUGUAUACAUGUAUGUACAUAUAUCUAUGUGUUGUGUGUAUGUAUGUAUCUAUAGAUGCCUACGUAAAGACCGCAGACACAAAAAAAAGUGUCUCUUCUAUCAACCUUUCUUUUCCAUUAAGUGCCUGAGAUAGAAGAAUCUAACCUAAGCCAAAAGCAGCCUGCAUUAGCUAAUAUUAGCAACAGUUGCAGACUAAAAAGUCUAAAAAGGAAAAAAGAUAAUAGAUGUGCAUAAGGGAGCAAAAGAGGGGCAAUGUGCGGGCGAAGGGCUACAACAAGCUUACACGCACGCACCGAACAAGCUUACACGCGCGCACGCACAUUGAGUGCUUGAGUUAGAUAGAUCGAUAGAUGGCAUAGAUCGAUUGGAUUGAUUAGGAGGAUAGAUCAACUGGAUCAAUUAGAAGGAUAGAUCGACUGAAUCGAUUAGAAGGAUUAAUUGGAUCAAUUAGAAGGAUAGAUCAAUUGGAUCGAUUAGAAGAAUAGAUCAAUUGGAUAGAUAGAUUGAUUGGAUAGAUAGAUCGAUUGGAUCGAUAGAUAGAUGGGAUAGAUAGAUCGAUGGGAUUGAUUGGAAGGACAAAUUAGAUGGGAUAGAUCGAUUGGAUUGAUUAGAAGGAUCGAUCAGUUGGAUAGAUUGGACCGGAUGGAUAGAUUGGAUGCAUAGAUUAAAUAGAUUAGACUAGAUAGAUUAGAUACAUGGAUUAGAUUGGAUGGAUAAAUUCGAUAGGAUGGAUAGACUAGAUAGAUUAGAUUGGAUAGAUUAGAUAGAGUAUGUAUAUCCAUGUACUAUUUAUCUAUAUACACAUGUAUAUGUAUGUAUGUAUGUACAUAUGUAUAUAUUUGUGUGUGUGUGUGUAUCUAUGUAGAUAUCUAUAGAUGCCUUUGUAAAGCCUGCAGACAGAAAAAAAAUCUCUCUUCUAUCCACCUUUCUUUCCCAUUAGGUGCUUGAGAUAGAAGAAUCUUACCUAAGCCAGAAGCAGCCUGAAUUACCUAAUAUAAUCAUACAAAAACAUGAAAAAUGAAUAUGCAUGUGAUUGCACAUAAGAAAAUAUCAUAGCAUACAUGAAACUCUAAAUCAAUUGUCUAUACCAAAGAAUAGCAAUGAUAUGAAACCAUAGCAACCAGAAUUGUCCAAUAG